UGAAGGCCAGCGGGCCUUAACCAUGCAAGUCGAACGGCAGCACAGAAGAGCUUGCUCUUUGGGUGGCGAGUGGCGGACGGGUGAGUAAUGUCUGGGAAACUGCCCGAUGGAGGGGGAUAACUACUGGAAACGGUAGCUAAUACCGCAUAACGUCGCAAGACCAAAGUGGGGGACCUUCGGGCCUCACACCAUCGGAUGUGCCCAGAUGGGAUUAGCUAGUAGGUGGGGUAAUGGCUCACCUAGGCGACGAUCCCUAGCUGGUCUGAGAGGAUGACCAGCCACACUGGAACUGAGACACGGUCCAGACUCCUACGGGAGGCAGCAGUGGGGAAUAUUGCACAAUGGGCGCAAGCCUGAUGCAGCCAUGCCGCGUGUAUGAAGAAGGCCUUCGGGUUGUAAAGUACUUUCAGCGGGGAGGAAGGCGGUGAGGUUAAUAACCUUGCCGAUUGACGUUACCCGCAGAAGAAGCACCGGCUAACUCCGUGCCAGCAGCCGCGGUAAUACGGAGGGUGCAAGCGUUAAUCGGAAUUACUGGGCGUAAAGCGCACGCAGGCGGUCUGUUAAGUCAGAUGUGAAAUCCCCGGGGCUUAACCUGGGAACUGCAUUUGAAACUGGCAGGCUUGAGUCUCGUAGAGGGGGGUAGAAUUCCAGGUGUAGCGGUGAAAUGCGUAGAGAUCUGGAGGAAUACCGGUGGCGAAGGCGGCCCCCUGGACGAAGACUGACGCUCAGGUGCGAAAGCGUGGGGAGCAAACAGGAUUAGAUACCCUGGUAGUCCACGCCGUAAACGAUGUCGACUUGGAGGUUGUGCCCUUGAGGCGUGGCUUCCGGAGCUAACGCGUUAAGUCGACCGCCUGGGGGAGUACGGCCGCAAGGUUAAAACUCAAAUGAAUUGACGGGGGGGCCCGCACAAGCGGUGGAGCAUGUGGUUUAAUUCGAUGCAACGCGAAGAACCUUACCUGGCCUUGACAUCCAGAGAACUUAGCAGAGAUGCUUUGGUGCCUUCGGGAACUCUGAGACAGGUGCUGCAUGGCUGUCGUCAGCUCGUGUUGUGAAAUGUUGGGUUAAGUCCCGCAACGAGCGCAACCCUUAUCCUUUGUUGCCAGCGGUUCGGCCGGGAACUCAAAGGAGACUGCCGGUGAUAAACCGGAGGAAGGUGGGGAUGACGUCAAGUCAUCAUGGCCCUUACGGCCAGGGCUACACACGUGCUACAAUGGCGCAUACAAAGAGAAGCGACCUCGCGAGAGCAAGCGGACCUCAUAAAGUGCGUCGUAGUCCGGAUUGGAGUCUGCAACUCGACUCCAUGAAGUCGGAAUCGCUAGUAAUCGUAGAUCAGAAUGCUACGGUGAAUACGUUCCCGGGCCUUGUACACACCGCCCGUCACACCAUGGGAGUGGGUUGCAAAAGAAGUAGGUAGCUUAACCUUCGGGAGGGCGCUUACCACUUUGUGAUUCAUGACUGGGGGAAGUCGAACCAAAGGAACCCAGGU
rnacentral:rRNA from 4 species